ACCCUCCAUCUCAUAACUGAAUUUCUCAAUCCAAAGGCUCAGAUUACUCCUCGUUCAACUUCUUCUCAAACUUCAACAAUCUAUAUAAACCUCCAAGCUGUUUUAUCAAAGCUCCAACAAAAACAACAAAAAUGGAAAAAAGAGAGGGAGGAUAUCAUUAUUCAAAUUCACGAUUUCAGAGAAGAAAAUAAACAGAAAUCCUGGCGUUCUUUCUCACAAUACAAUUAUACAGACAAAAAGAAAAUCACAGGGGAAACUCACCAAAAAUAUUUCUUUAAAAUCUCGAUUCUCUCUCUGAACUCUUCCACCACCUUCAUCCUCAACCUUCUCACACAUAUACCUUCUUCUCCUCAUCUCUCAACCCUCUCUAUCUCGGUGCUUCAUUUCAACACAUCACCUUCACCUCACGAAACCUCACUACUCACUAAGCCUUCUCUGAAAUUCCUUCAUAACCGAAUUUCAUCAUCUUCGUCAUUGGUCCUUUAG